UCCAAUAAUUGCAACUUCAGCCUUGCAACUUGCCCUAUUGCCCUCGGCUGCACUGUGCAGUCCUUCAGCUCUGUAUUAUUUUAAAAAUUUUGUCAUCGCAUCACAGGUGUUAACAAAUGCAGCAAAGUUAUUUGAGACUCUGCACCAGUUCACGGAUUGUUCUUGAUUGCUGACGUUGCCGUAGACCUCUAUGGAGUUUUCUAUUACAAGUCUGGAGCCAUUUUCUGGAGGCUGUGCACCUCUCGCCGCAGCUCCUGCAGCUUGCUCCUUGCGUGUUGAAGUGCUGUUUCGUAUUGUGUCACACUCUACUGAAGGAAGCACUGUUCACCCGUGCCCAGGAAUGAUGAGAAAACGAAGGUUACGGAUUGCAGUAUUUGCGACAAGAAAGCAACUCAAUGGGCGGGCAUACCUGCAGCUUGGGUUGGUGGUUCUGAUGGCACUUGUUGAACAUCGUCAGCUGCAGGUGCACAGAUCGUGCUCGCAUAGCAGUGGUCCUGAUGGGAGGAGUCGUACGUCACGAUGAUCAGUAAUCUGCGGAUGGCGAAGGGAGUUCCAGUGCAACCCGCGGGCCUUCGACUUCAACCGCCGGCUGGUCCAGCUUUGCCGGAACUCGACCAACCUCUGCUACCUGGACCACGGAUCCCACCGACGACGACCAACCCAGGUCUUUGCAGCUGACGGUCUCCAUCCAAACUUCGAGGGGGUUCGGAUGAUCAGCCGACACCUGCUGGACCGGCUUCCACGACUUCGACGGCUCCUACCAUCACGCCGCCCCAACGUGACUGCUGUUCCGGAUCCAGUGUGGCCUACCCCACAGGAGGCAGCUGCCCUGGAACGACGAUGGCAGAAUACAAGACCAUCGACGCUGGACUGACUAACCGCCGCAAGGUUUGAAGCAGCACUCACCCUGCACCGAAUUUUCCCCAAAGCGGACAGUGACCUACGGCAAAUGACAUCACACCCGGACUUGACCUUCUGGAAUCUUCCCGAAUCUGACUCACUGACAAACGACUGUGGCGUGCCCGUACCGAUUAUGACGUCAUGUACCAAACCUACUUAAGUAAUGUGUAACCAGCUACGCAUCUUUUGUCCUGACGAAGAUAGUGCCACUGUGGAAACGUCGACCCCUUGCCCAUUUUACUUUUUAACGUCUCCCUAUGUAAUAAACUAGUGUUUGUAACUUCCCUAAAA